AGGAACUCAAAGCAAGAAUGUGAAUAAUGUUUGUAUCCUUGGAAACAUUUUGGCUCUUGGUGGAUCAGUGGACCCUGAUCCAGUUCAUGUGGAGUUACAUGUGAGCAAGAGUGCGAAUAUCAUUUGCGUUCAAUCUUCAGUAGAUCAGUGGACCCUGAUCGACUUCAAGUGGUGCUAAUGGUACUGUGAAGAUUGCAAGUUUAGAAAGAAUGUCUUGGGAAACAAGUG